GCUUAAUCAAAUCCCAACUGUUGAGGUUUCACAGAAUAUGCAGCAGAGAAGAGGAUUUCCGUGUUGCAGUCGGGGUGCUCUUUCACGCUUUGUCCACCAGGGGGUACUCUAGGACCUUUCUUAGAAAAUGCCAGAGGUCAUUUCUAGAGAAGAAGCCUAUUACUGUGGGCUCCAGUCUCCCCUUUGUCACCACAUAUUCACCUUCUACUAUGGCAUUGGUCAGAGGAUGCAGAAGGAGAUUCCUCUCCCACACCACAGGGUCUUCUGUCCUGCAGGACCACAGGAUCAUCCCGGCCUACAGGAGAAACAAGAAUCUACUGGAUUAUCUGGUAAAGGCCAAAUUAAAACCUCUGCACAGCACUAAGGGGAGAGGUCAGAGUGAUGUCUUUUUUAAACACAGAAAAUGGCUGCAAAGCCACAGCACGGGAGAUGUUUUUCUGAACUCAGCCAGGGGAAACACCAAGUCUAAGAACUGUGUUUACCUCAUCACGUGUGUACAAUGUGGAUUACAAUAUGUGGGGGAGACGGGGAACACCAUCGCGACCCGCUUCACACAACACAAACACAACAUCAUUAAAAAGAAAAAAACACUGACGCCACUUGUGGCACAUUUUAUUUCGCACGGCUGGAAAUCUGUGUCUGUGUGUGUGAUCCAGACGAACCCCGGAUGGAGCGCUCCCCAGAGGAGGAGAGCGGAGAGGGGCUGGAUCAAUAAAUUAAACACCAGGUAUCCUAAGGGCUUAAAUGAGGACUAAGAGCUGCGGGCUGUGAGGCAGUGCUGGACAGUGCGCAGAUGGUCCUGCUUGCAGGUCCAUCAAAAACUAUUUAUUCCCUAACCGGCCCGUGCCGCCUGCUGAGCAGCCUGCGGUCUCUACGGUUCUCUCAUACAGCCCACCCUGUUAUUUGGUCCUAAACACAACCACUUCAUAACCCAUGCCUAAACCUAAUCCUUUACAGCCCACCCGGUUAUUUUAUCCUAAACACAACCACUCCAUAACCUAUGCCUAAUCUUAACCCUUCAUCAUGUGUGGUGGCACUGUAAAUAUUUCUGCUUAUUGAAAAAAAUGUGUGUAUUAUUCAUAUUCCAUUACUGUUUCUAAUUUUAAUAAUUCAAUGUAUGAUGUUUGCUGAUGUUAUUAUCAUGUUUAUGCGUUAUUACUAAGUGAUUCAUGUUUCUGGUUUCGACGAUGCUGGUAUUUCGGAUUGUGAGACGGGUGCAUUGAACGUCUCACUGUAUGCGAUGCACCUAGAGAUUCGUAGUUCAGCGCAGCUAUUGGUCAGCUAAACCGGGGAGGGGAAAGGUCACGGCCGCCAUAUUGGCGACGCCCUAGCCGGACCGUCAUUUCACCGAGCUGACCAGAGCGACAACAACAGCGCGCACCUUUAGCUCACACUUUUUGACAAGUUCUAUAGCCUGAGGAAGGAUAUUCUUUAUAUCCGAAACGUUGCUAAACUGUUUAAACUUGUUCCGUUUAUUGUUUUAUUUUUGUUGUUAUUGUUCCAGUUAAUAAAAGGUAAAAAGAACAACUUUUCCUUCGCCUUUUUUUUCGUGGCUAGUGAACACGAGGCUUCACUAGCUAGCGACAUGUACGGGCGUGGCCGGGAGGAUGAAGGCGAGUGGACGCUGGUGCAGUACGGCAGACGCGGUAGGCGCCGC
ensembl:lncRNA